CCUACGGGCGGCAGCAGUGAGGAAUAUUGGUCAAUGGCCGGGAGGCUGAACCAGCCAAGUCGCGUGAGGGAAGACGGCCCUACGGGUUGUAAACCUCUUUUGUCAGGGAGCAAGGUGCAGGUCGGGACCUGCUGUGAGAGUACCUGAAGAAAAAGCAUCGGCUAACCCCGUUCCAUCAGCCGCGGUAAUACGGAGGAUGCGAGCGUUAUCCGGAUUUGUUGGGUUUAAAGGGUGCGCAGGCGGAGGCACAAGUCAGCGGUAAAAUCGCGGGGCUCAACCCCGCUCCGCCGUUGAAACUGUGUCCCUGGAGUGCGCGAAGGGUAGGCGGAAUGCGUGGUGUAGCGGUGAAAUGCAUAGAUAUCACGCAGAACUCCGAUCGCGAAGGCAGCCUACCGGCGCGCAACUGACGCUCAUGCACGAAAGCGUGGGUAUCGAACAGGAUUAGAUACCCUUGUGUC
rnacentral:rRNA from 1 species